CAGUCGCCGCGGUAAUACGUAGGUGGCAAGCGUUGUCCGGAAUUAUUGGGCGUAAAGGGCUCGCAGGCGGUUUCUUAAGUCUGAUGUGAAAGCCCCCGGCUCAACCGGGGAGGGUCAUUGGAAACUGGGAAACUUCAGUGCAGAAGAGGAGAGUGGAAUUCCACGUGUAGCGGUGAAAUGCGUAGAGAUGUGGAGGAACACCAGUGGCGAAGGCGACUCUCUGGUCUGUAACUGACGCUGAGGAGCGAAAGCGUGGGGAGCGAACAGGAUUAGAUACCCGCGUAGUCCCUGUCUCUUAUAC
rnacentral:rRNA from 1 species